CCGGGACUGGGAGCCUCCCAGGUGCUACAUCCGCAUCAUCAGCCUCAGGCCUCCCUUGGGGCCUCUCCCUUCAAACCACAGCAUCCUCAUCCCACCCCACCCCCAGGUAGGAUGCUGGUCGCUCAGCCUGGAGAGACCUUUUUAAUUUGAGGAUAAACAGACUGUCAUCCUGGCUCGGCCCUCUGUGGGCUUGCUGCUCCCCGCCCCCCUCAAUCCGCAGUGCACAGCCGCUCUGUUCUCCUGCCAACUUGGCAGCUCGUUGCUGCUGUUACUAUCAACACCUCUGAGGGAAAAAGGAGAGGAGUCGGUUCUGAUCGCCUAGUGCACUGAGCAACACAUUCAUACCGAGCCUGAGCACUCUGGAAUGUUUCCCGAGCUCCGAAGACUCCGGGUGGGGCAAGAAAGGUGGGAUCUGUGUUGCAGAGAACAGAUGGGCCGGAAAUCAGCCUGAGCUCGGAUCCGAUCAGCCCCAGUAGGAGCAGCGCUUUAGCAGAGAGACUGAAACCAGUCGAGGACACACACAAACCCGCCCCUCCUCCCCACCUCCCACCCCCGCCCCUGCUCCCCACCUCAGGGAGUACUGGGAGGGAAUAAGAAGAGCUGCUGAAGGUUGUGGCUGGAGCCUCAGAGGUACAGGACCGGAAUAUCGGUAAAUGGAUCUUGCUGUUACCUCAUCUCUUGUCACAGUCCAAAUAACAUGGAUGGCUUCAGUUCAAGAGAUGGUAGAUCAGGGUUUUGUGGUGUGGGUAGGAAAAUGCUUUUGGGAUUUUGUUUAGGGAUGUAUGAAGAACUGGGUCUUUUUCUUUCACCAUCCUUGGACUCCAUGUCUCCUUUACCAGUUCAGACCGGGUGCUAGAAUGAGCACACUUUCUUUACCGGUUGAAAGCUUCCAGGGUCAGCCUUUUCCUUUACCCAAACCCACUCAGAGCCACUCAGGCCCAGCCCUCUGACUUCCCCAAGCUGCUAGUUAGUGCCUUUCUCAGCCGUGGGUUAGGACUCCCAGGGAGGAGGGGCUGUUGGGAAGAACAAAGAAUAUCUUCAGAGACAGAAAGCCCACUCUAAAGCAAAGGCCUGCUGAUAACUCCAGUCACUCAGUCACUCCUGACAGGAUCAAGAGGUGUUCAUUGUGCUGCUUUCCCCGGAGGAAUGCCUCUCCAGCCCUCUCCCUGGUAGCUAAGGUAAAGCCUGAACUUCCUGACUUUAGUCUCAGCCACAAGGGCUGGCUUGGGACUAGCUCCUGAAUUCCAUACCAGUGGUCUGCCCAACCCACCCGAAAAUGUGGUCCUGGUUCCUAGUCGGGUGUGUGUGGGGAGGGACGAUCAUCAGCCUGUUCGCUUUUCUAUAACACAGAGAAGUCAGGCACCUCAAUGGGCUGCAGACUACAGAAUGAAGACCUAAAACUGAGGCUUGUAUACAACUGGAAUGUGCCCUCCUUUUCUAUGCUGCUCUCCCUCUACCCUCCCUAGAAGCCCUUUUUCAGAUGUGAAACUGAUACCAAGAUUAUUUCCAGCCCUGGGAAUCUGAACCCUCUCACCUUCCUGGUAAGAACUACCCAGCUACCCAAGAAAACCUUCAGACUAUCUCAGGGCCUGAGAACAGGAAAGAGGACUCAGUCAGCAGGCUGGAAUUGAAAUAAGCCAUGAGAGGCUGUGCCAUUCCGGGCUGCACCUGUGAGCAGCCCCUCCAAUGAAGCCCUGUCAGCGUUUCCAUGACAAACUCAUAUUUCCGGAUGCUUCUCUUCCAGCUUGAAGAGCUUGUCUCUCGGCGAGGCUUGAUACUGAAAGUGCAUUCAGAUUUUCACACCCCCCCCCAAAAAAAGAUUGUACACCCCAUAAAAACUUACAACCUGGGGUUGGGGAUUUAGCUCAGUGGUAGAGUGCUUACCUAGGAAGCGCAAGGCCCUGGGUUCGGUCCCCAGCUCCGAAAAAAAGAACCAAAAAAAAAAAAAAAAACAAAAAAAAAAAAAACCCUUACAUCCUCCUUGUAUGUAUUUGCUCUUUAUUUUGAGUUUGAUGGCAUAACCUUUGUUCUGGUGAAAAUAAGCAACACACACAGAGGAAGACUCGAGGAGAACCGCUAACGACUACAUGGGGCCAGCACACAGUGUGUAAGACCUCUCUUUGCAAGAGAUCCUCUGCUUCCAUUUGCUUGUCUCAAAGCCAAAAGUGAUUUCUACUUUUGAGUUUGAAGGACUCCCCAGCUCCAGGUGUCCAUUGGCCUCUAACAGAGGCUGACUCCAGAAGGUCACCAGCUCCCAGCUGGCAAUGGAUGAGUGGAAGGAUUUUGAGGUACCUCGAAGGUCAGUGGAAGGGCAGAAAGGGCCUUUCAGUAGGAGCUUUUCACCGGCUCGACGUUGCUACUCUCCAGUACAUUAGCAUCACAAGAUCGAAACAGAAAACUCGGGUAUAUCCCAAAGUGGGAAGAAAAUGAUGUCAUAAACUGGGAGCGAGAUGUGGGCCGAGCUAUGUGGAGGCCUGAGACGAGAGAUGUGUCGUGGCCGCAAUCGCAAGGAUUAAGAAAGUUGGUCCAGUAUGGCCGUGCACCCCUUCCAUCCCAGCACUUGAAGGGCAGAGGCGGGUGAUUCUUACUGGCUUGGUCAAACUUCCCCUAAUAGACAGAACUGCCUCCUAGCGGGAACCCCAUGGUCUCCAAAGAAGAUAUACGGAUAUACGAGGCACAAGGACUCCACCAGGAUUGUGGUAGUGCUAACCACUGGGAUAAACUGUUCCAUGCCUCAUCUGCUGUCAGUGCUCUUCUCAAACUGUGGGCAUUUUUUUUGGGUUGAUUGCCCUAUUUUGCCUGGUCAAAGUAAGGUCAGUUCUCCCAAGUUCCCCUUUAGGAAAAAAAAAUCUCUCAGAUCUGACAGCCAAAGGCCUAUGCUCCUCUGUAUGACAGCUAAAGAUUUGGCUAUGUGAUGGCCGAAGACUAACCACUGCCCCCAACGAAACUCUGAAGACCACUGGACCCCAAGGUAACCCGUCUCAUGUAAUGGGGAAGUCUCUGUCAUUCCAGGUAUAAUCUCUCCUCAGAUCUCUGAGGAUAUGGACUGACUGUAGCUUUAACAGCAACAAGCAUACCAGCUCCUCCCCCAAGGCUUCAGCUGCCUUCCCAGUUCUCUUCCUAGGUAAAGACCAGGCCUGAGGCCUCACUCACCUAGAGUUUCUGCUGUAGAGAUUCUGGGCCUUGCUACCAGGCUCCAAAAAGAGAUAAACUCACUAAAGAGGUUUCAAAGUAACUUUUUACCAUUCCUUUCUUUUUUUCUUUUUUUUUUUUUUUUGGAGCUGGGGACCGAACCCAGGGCCUUGGGCUUGCUAGGCAAGUGCUCUACCGCUGAGCUAAAUCCCCAACCCCACCAUUCCUUUCUUUAAGGGGACUCUUUGCAAUAACUGCACUCCUGCAGUCACCCCUGGGUCCUCAUGGUAAACAACAGGAUGUAAAAGAAAAAGUGAUUCAAUCUUUAUUAAGACUUCAAAAGUUCAGAGUUUAAACAUUAAUCAGCGGAGUUCUGAUAAGCCAUCAAUCUAGCUCUGCUAAAGUACUUGUUAAUAGUAUCGUAGUCAAAUUUAAAAUGUUAGAUUUUCCUUUGGUCGUUUCCUAAGUACAGACUUAAAAAUGCUUCUCAGUUUGCCAAAGGCAUCUCUGUCCAGUCUAUAUACACAGCACUCUGGAGAGAGUGUUCAUGCUUCUAACCCAAAAUCAUUUUGGCAUUCCCACACUUUUACUUCCAUUCAGAGGCACGAGUCUACUGCUCUUUCCCACAGUGCAGAUUUCAGUACAUAUUACAAAAGUGGUGAUGCUAACAACAUCAGAACUUUUGUUUUUAUAAUCUUAAAAAAAAAAAAAUCUUGUAAGCUGCUGGACCCACCUCUCACAGGUCAAAUGGACCCCAAAUAAGUACUCGUGUCAAACAACAGCCUAAAUUUUAAUGCCCACUGCCUGUUCCUGAGGGUGGGAUCUUUCUCCCUUUUCCUGAUCUUGGAGCUCCCCUCUCCAGCUACCUUUGAGGACCCUGGGCCUCAAAGUUUCAAAUGUGCACCCAGGAUAAACUUUCCCUUCUUCUCCUAGUCUAUCUGUCCCAGUUGAUUCCAGAUCCGACUAGUCCCCAGCUCCGGGUGCUCCCCCACAACCCACAUCCCAAGCAGCUUCAAGGAGGCUAGCCCCAGGUAAUCCAGCCUCACAAGCUACUCCACAAGGUCCUGCAGAGCCUGGGCAGCCACUUUUCCCAGUCUCAGCCAGCGCACCAGCUUCUUUAGCACACCCCCACCCCUGACGCCCCGCCCUGACAAUGAUGCUCCAAAGUCAGCAGGAAAUAGUAAGAGAGGAGAUUAUGUAUGUGUCCUCCCAUACCAUUCAUCAAUUAUCAACAAAAAGGCUUAGGUUUUUGUUUGUUUUUUUUUUAAUUAACAAACAAACAAAUAGGUCUCGGGUUGGGGAUUUAGCUCAGUGGUAGAGUGCUUGCCUAGCAAGCUCAAGGCCCUGGGUUCGGUCCCCAGCUCUGAAAAAAAAGAAAAAAAAAAAAAAAGAAAGUAAAAAGAAAGUAAAAAAAGAAAUAGGUCUCAAACCUGGGACAAAUGGUGAAGGUGCCUACUAAAGGACCUGGCCUCCAGGUUCUCCCUGCAUCUCUUAGUCACUACCUGUUACAGGGCCCCUGACUAGUAUACCUCACCCGUCUAACCCUGAACUCUCCAGCCCAGGGCUCUGGGCUGUUCCUCCCUAUAAAAUCCACCUGUUUUGGUUACCUGAUUUUUUUUUAUUAAUUAAUUAUUAUUAUUUUUUUUUGUACCUUUGGGCCUCCUGACUGCUACACCUGGUUCCCUUCCCCUCCCUCUCCAUUCGCCUCCUUUCUGCCCCACCUCUCCCCUUCUUCUCUCCCCUCUCUUUUCCCCUCUCUAGUCCUCCCCACAUGACUCAGUUCAGUCUGGUUAUGUACACAGACCCUGGACUCUCCCAGAUGUCCCUGCCUCGGCCCAUACUCUUCCACCUGUCUAUAAUAAACCUUCCCCCACCAUAACUACGAACAGUCACA
rnacentral:lncRNA from 1 species